rnacentral:lncRNA from 1 species
UUCUUAAUUGUAAUCAUAUCAUUGCUUUAAAAUGUUAAUUCGAAGCUUCUUUCAUUGGAGCGAUACUAUAUAGGUCCCUCGUUAUUACUAUCUAUUUUUCCUUUUCGUUAUCAUUUUGGUUGGGUGUCAAUAUUCUCUUUGAUUACGAGACAUGCUAGUUGCUGAUAAUAUAGAUAGAAUCAGGGCCGUCCCUGCCAUAAGGCCAGUGAGACAAG